rnacentral:tRNA from 1 species
UCUAAAAUGGCAGAUAGAUGUGUAGGAUUUAAGCUCCUAUAAGGAAGAGAUUUCUUCUUUUAGAA